CUAGUGGAUUUGUUUAGACUAUCAUGUUUUUCUGUCUUUCUCUUUUCUUUUUUUUUGCACUAGUCACAUUUUGGUGGGGAGACUGGGGAUUGAACUCGGGUACUUUAGCCCUGAGCUAUGACCUCAAUGUUGGUUUUUUUUUUUUUUAAUUUUCUGAGACAGGGUCUUGCUAAAUUGCUGAGGCUGGCCUUAAACUUGUGAUCCUCAUGCUUCAGUUUCCAAAGUCAUUGGGAUUACAGUUGUGUGUCACCACACCUGGCUAUGUUUCUAAGAAAUUUUUCAUUCUUGGAAAGUUCAUUUUUUAAUAGUAGCCUGUUCUUAUUUCAUGAUAUAACAGCUUCAUUUAGUUCUCUGAGAAUAUUAAUUCCAGUUUGUUUUUAAUAUUUUAUUCAGUUCAUUGCAUUGUCUCCACCUCCUUAGAGUUCUCUAUAUCAGUUAUCUCACUUUUCAGUGUUGCUUUCAUCAAAUGUCUGCUCAUCUCAGCUGUCUGUUCAUUUUCAAGAAUAAGAAUUUGAACCAAACCUCCUAUUUUCUGGCUCACCUACAACCAUGCCUUCACAAGCACAUCUGGUGCUUCUAGUUUCUAAGUCUUACCGAGGUUCUUCUGAACAGAUAAACUCGGUUCUUCACCUACUAGGUAUUUUUCUUUUCCUGGUUUGCUAAAUCAUUUGUCAUUUAUCUUAACUGCUUUAAGACUUCCAAAUUCUUUUUGAUAUCCUUGCUUGCUAUCAUUUAUAAUUUUAGACUUUUUUCUUUGUUGUUUUAGUGACAAACAGGGAGAGAGACAAAGGAAGUAGAGAUAAAUACAUAUAUUCAAUUUGUCCUUUUCAACUAGAAAUCUCAUUUUUUUUAAAGCCCGUAAAUCUUCAAGAAUUUGCUUUUAUCAAAAUCACUAUCAUGGGGCUGGAGAAAAAUCUACAUGAUGAUAGUCAAAACAUUAAUUUAUUAACCACAACUUGCAGGCUUGACAGCUCUUUUGCGUUUAAGAUUAUUUCUAAUUUUAAAUGUGUUGCAAGUAUAGGAAGAAAAUCUGUCCUUUUCUUAGGUAGGGAGCAUCUGUAUGUUAAGUAACUUUCUUUCUUUUUUUUUUUUUUUAAGAAAGAGAGAGAGAGAGAGAAAGAACUCUAAUAUUUAUUUUUUAG
rnacentral:lncRNA from 1 species